UCGUAGGUGACCUGCGGAGGAUCAUUACCGAGUUAGGGUGCCUAAACCGCGCCCGACCUCCAACCCUUUGUCUACCUGACCUUAUGUUGCUUCGGCAGGCCCGCCUUCCCCUCCGGGGAGGCCGCCGGGGGUCGUCUGAGUUAUCUAAACAAAUGAAAAUUAAAACUUUCAACAACGGAUC
rnacentral:rRNA from 1 species